rnacentral:rRNA from 1 species
GACGAACGCUGGCGGCGUGCUUAACACAUGCAAGUCGAACGGAAAGGCCCUGCUUUUGUGGGGUGCUCGAGUGGCGAACGGGUGAGUAACACGUGAGUAACCUGCCCUUGACUUUGGGAUAACUUCAGGAAACUGGGGCUAAUACCGGAUAGGAGCUCCUGCUGCAUGGUGGGGGUUGGAAAGUUUCGGCGGUUGGGGAUGGACUCGCGGCUUAUCAGCUUGUUGGUGGGGUAGUGGCUUACCAAGGCUUUGACGGGUAGCCGGCCUGAGAGGGUGACCGGCCACAUUGGGACUGAGAUACGGCCCAGACACCUACGGAAGGCAGCAGUGGGGAAUAUUGCACAAUGGGCGGAAGCCUGAUGCAGCAACGCCGCGUGCGGGAUGACGGCCUUCGGGUUGUAAACCGCUUGCGCCUGUGACGAAGCGUGAGUGACGGUAAUGAGUAAAGAAGCACCGGCUAACUACGUG